rnacentral:rRNA from 1 species
UACGAAGGGGGCUAGCGUUGCUCGGAAUCAUUGGGCGUAAAGGGUGCGUAGGCGGCCUUGUAAGUCAGUGGUGAAAUCUCGCAGCUUAACUGCGAAACUGCCAUUGAUACUGCAGGGCUUGAGUACAGAUGCUGUGGGCGGAAUAUGACAUGUAGUGGUGAAAUACAUAGAGAUGUCAUAGAACACCGAUUGCGAAGGCAGCUCACAAAACUGUAACUGACGCUGAGGCUCGAAAGUGUGGGGAUCAAACAGG